UCUAAAGGUAUAAACGAUGCCCCCCAUAGGGGGCUUCACAGCGAUUUGAGAUUCUGGCCAUCGGAUUGGAUUCAUUGAGUGCAUCUCGGCCGUUCAUUUUUUCACCACAUCAUAUAAAAAGGACACCCCAUAGUGAAAACCCUAGCCGCAUCUCUCCACUCCCCCCAAUCCCUGGGGCUGCAUCCUUUUCUCUACCCAAUCCCCACGUUCCUCUCUCUCCCCCAAUCUUCUCAAGACACAUACCAUUUGAUGGUUUCCUCCAUGGCUAGGGCAGGGGAGAAGGAAAGCAUGGUGGAAUCGUUGAGGAGGCGGAGACCAACAUGGAGAAGAACCUGCUGCUCUCUCUCCCUUUACUCCCUGCCAUGCCCUAGCUCAUCCUUUCCCACAACAAAAAGGAUUUCUGAUUUAGAUACUGGAGGAAGAAGAAGAGGUGGCAAGAAGAGGAGCAAGAGGAGGAGAAGGAAGAAGAGAAGAUCCCCACCUUUACUGUAUGAUUCCUCUUGAUCCAGAUCCAAGGGUGCCUCAACAGGUAACUGCCCGGAGCAAAGUCGAUGGGGUGAAGUUGUCGAGAAAGGUGUGAAGUCAUGUUGCAGACGUGGAUUUUCCAUCCCAGGUGUCUCAGCAACACGUUUGGGAUGAUGUAUUUGCCAUCGUCGCACCACAUUUAGGUAUUUGAGCCAUCCUUGCCUUGGCUCCCCACGCCCUUCAUUCAACAUCUCUUCCUAAUUUUACUAUACCUUUUUUCCUCACCCAUUGCGAGGUUGCAGGUGUGUGCAUAAGCCAUUUGUGUAAAUGCAUAAGGGCAAAGACCGUUCAGGGAAGAAUACUAACACCUCAACUUGGAUUUGUAAGUUGUGUGUUCUCAUAGAUGCAUUCUUAUUCAUAAUUUAUAUGUGUUUCAAUAUGGAUUCCUUGGUUCAUAUUAAUUGCAGGUUAUGCUAUUGUCAUGAACUUCAAGCAAUGAAUGUUUUUUAUUUUACUUUCUUGUUUUUGUGAAUGUCAAUUUCAUGUACUUCACUGGCAUUAAAGGAAAAUAUUCAUAUCUUACUGGUAUUAUAUAUUCUGUAUUUAGAGGGCAUAGCUAAUUUUCUUGCUGGUUUUUUAGUUUUACAUGUGUUGUUGCCUGACCGACAAAGAUUAUGCCGAUGUCACGAGAAGCUUAUCAUAAUAAAUUUGUGGGAUGGAGCUUCAGGAGUUUGCUGAUUUUUCUUUACAGCUUAUGGACUUGCUAAGAAGGAAUGUAAAGUGGAGGCAUCAGAGCUUGCUCUCUCAAAUCUUGGUCUGGUCAGUUAUAUAGGCUAUUGGACUAGAGUACUUUUGGAAUUUCUGAAGAACCAUAAGAACAAUUUAUUUAUCAAUGUUAGCAGUGUCUUCCUUUCCUUCUAUCCUACUUUAUUGCUUUAGAUUUUGUAUUAUCCUUUUUUUCUCGAGAAGAAUGCAGAAUACUUACAUCUCAAUUGAAAGGUAGAAACGAGGGCAGAAUACAUGAAACAAACAACAAACGAAAAUACAGAUCAAUGUUCAUUCCAAUCCUUUGGUAGAGCAGUGUGCAAAUCUAGAGCCCCUGAACGAUUCCCCUUAUUUGUACUGUUUUCAACAGCUGAUCCAACUGUGAUGUAGUAGCCAGCACCUUUUUCUUUUAUCGGAUCCAUAUGAUGAAUUCGAUCUACUUUAUCCAAUUUGUCUGCUGUUAUUCCUUUCAAUGUCAAGCAAAACUAGGCUUUGUAAUUUAUCAUUUAUAGUUGACUUAUUGCCUUAUUAUCAUUUAUAGUUGACUUAUUGAAAAACGAUGAAUAUAUUCUCAUGGAUAUGUUACAUAACCUUUUCUAAUGAUGCACAUCGGCUUCACGCUUCCAAUCUUCUAUCUAGGGUAACCGAACAUGGUUCACUUGAAACUGUUUUGUAAUGAUGAGAAUAUUUUGCUCCCUUCUGGUUUUGGUAGUUAAGAUAUAUGCAACCAAAUAAUGUCAGAUGGUGGUCAGAAACUGAUAGUUUAAACCUUGAAUACUGUUUGUAUUUUCCCUUUAUGCUUAUAGCAGUUACCUAUUCUACAAUGCUCUCAAAGAUUUUCUUCACUGUAGAAGAGCCGCAUUCAUUUGAUGGCUUCUUUUAUGUAUGAUUCCCUUAUAUAUUGUUUUAGCUUCUUAUGCAUUUCAAAAGUAGCUAUAUGCAUAGAGAUAGGGCAAGGGUGUGCAAGAAGUUGUUGUAUGAUCUGAAACAUUAUAAUAUUAUUAUCACAUUCUCUCUGUAAGAGGCGUUUGUGAGGUUGCAACCUAUAUAUUAGAUACCCUGUCUGUUGUACUGUUUUAAAUUCAAUUUGCAAAUCAGCCAACACAUUGCACAACCAAACCACAUAGAUAUAUGCAAUCUACUGGUGUUACUACUGUGAUUUCUUUGCAACUGAAUAAUUUGCUUUUGUUUUAUUAACUUAGGCCAGUCAACCAUUUAUUAAGGUGGCACCACUAUAAAGUGUCGACAAGAAAGAGCAUGGGUCGCUGCAGGCACAUCGUACAUGAGCACGACUCCGGCCGACGGACAAUGAGAGGCCAAUGAGGUGCUGAGAUAAGUGCUCAGGUUUACCUUGAAACAUAUAGUCUCUGAGUUGAUUGACCUGGAUAUUUGAGAAAAUGAGCAUACCAGAUUUUUUUGUAAUGUUUUCCUGACCAAGCUUAGCACUGCACCUCGUCUUCGUUUAUUGCCACAAAUCUUUGGCCCCCUUAUGGUAUUGGAUAUAGGUGAUUUAAUCCAGAGUGCGCAGCUGGGCGGAAUUGGCUGCGGAUCGGUCCAAAGUUCCUGUAUUCAGGCGCUACUUGCCGCAAGUAGGCCUCGGAUGUGAUUUUUCUGAUCUUAGAAAAGAACUCCAUUUGAAGAAACUGACUUAUUUGGUUCAUAAAUUCGUGCAUACAUUGCUUCCCAGUCAUCUACGUAAAAAGAGUUUAUACACAUUAUGGAUUCUAUUUCUGUUGAUGCAGGUUUAUUAAUAGUUGUCAUCUACGUACUUAAUUAUCAUGGGUCGAUUCUCUUCCUAGCUUCUUUGUCAUGUAAGCUUUAGUAAAACAAAUGGCUCCGAGAUGUGUAACUGUUAGUGCUUAACAUCAAGAUUUGUCUAUGCCACAUAAGAGGUGGCCUGGCCUAUCUGUGCUUAAAAUUUUGGGCAUGAAUUUUCCCCUUGAUACCAGACUCUACUAAUGUAUCGGGCUGUCUACUAUUUUCAUAAUCUUUACAAGGUUUGGCUUGAAUCAUUGUGUAAAUACUACUAGCACUUUUAGAAUCAGCCAAGGACAUUAUAUAUGUUUCUCCUUUUUGUGUGUGUGUAAAUUCAAUCAUGUCUAGCCCGAUCAUAGCCCAUUAGCUUGCAUAUAUACUAGUUUUGUACCAUACAAUACUUUCUCUUCAUAUAUUUAUAUUUAGUGUUAG